CCUACGGGAGGCUGCAGUGGGGAAUAUUGGACAAUGGGGGGAACCCUGAUCCAGCCAUGCCGCGUGUGUGAAGAAGGCCCUCGGGUUGUAAAGCACUUUCAGUGAGGAAGAACGCCUGGUGGUUAAUACCCAUCAGGAAAGACAUCACUCACAGAAGAAGCACCGGCUAACUCCGUGCCAGCAGCCGCGGUAAUACGGAGGGUGCGAGCGUUAAUCGGAAUUACUGGGCGUAAAGCGCGCGUAGGUGGCUUGAUAAGCCGGUUGUGAAAGCCCCGGGCUCAACCUGGGAACGGCAUCCGGAACUGUCAAGCUAGAGUGCAGGAGAGGAAGGUAGAAUUCCCGGUGUAGCGGUGAAAUGCGUAGAGAGCGGGAGGAAUACCAGUGGCGAAGGCGGCCUUCUGGACUGACACUGACACUGAGGUGCGAAAGCGUGGGUAGCAAACAGGAUUAGAUACCCUAGUAGUC
rnacentral:rRNA from 1 species